rnacentral:rRNA from 1 species
UACAGAGGUCUCAAGCGUUGUUCGGAUUUAUUGGGCGUAAAGGGCGCGUAGGCGGCGGUGUAAGUCGGGUGUGAAAUCUCAGGGCUCAACCCUGAAACUGCACUUGAUACUGCUCUGCUUGAGGACUGGAGAGGAGACUGGAAUUCACGGUGUAGCAGUGAAAUGCGUAGAUAUCGUGAGGAAGACCAGUGGCGAAGGCGGGUCUCUGGACAGUUCCGGACGCUGAGGCGCGAAGGCCAGGGGAGCAAACGGG